GGUAGCUCUCUGGCCUAAUUGGUUUCCUAGUUAACAGACUAAGUAAUGAUGUAACAAGAGUGUGUGGGAACCAGACCUGUGUGACAGAUACAAUUUUUCCCAGCCAUACUAAUUUUGCCUGCUUACCUGGUUCUGCUGCUGGCUAUCUGGAAAUUUGAACUACUGAAAGGAUAUAAUGAGCUUAGAAAAAGAGGAGAUACAGCUUAGUCCUUUAACAUGAAAUUGUCACCAGCCACAGAAGGCUCUGUGCAAUUUGAUACAGUGUCACACUUGGUGCGUGCCAGUUUUGUGCCUGAAGUAUAAGAGCCGGGGAACCGUACCAGCUCAGACCUCCAAGGAAGAAGCUUUUGCAGGAAUCCAUGACCACACAGAAAGAAAAUGGACACAGCAACCUUGUCUCCCAAAGGUAUGUGAGAUUUCUCACCUUCUGAAAAUCCUGCUUGAACUUCUGCUUCAUUCCACUGGUUUCCCAAGUUGGUGCUGUACUUUCCUGAUUUGCUGCAGAAGGAUUGCCAUCUCAGCUCAUCUGCACUGUUUAAACGUGGUAAGUGCUAAGAUGAAAAUACAAGCUCAUUCCUGUAGAGAGAUUGUGUCGUUCUGAAACUACUGGAAAGUAUGUAUAUGUUGGGAGGGGGAAGAGAGGGAAAAGCUGUUUAUGUUUUAUUGCUUUGGUUUAAAAGAGAUUCUUCUGUAAGAGCUGGAGGUUCUUGGGUACUUAAG
rnacentral:lncRNA from 1 species